rnacentral:rRNA from 1 species
GACGAACGCUGGCGGCGUGCCUAAUACAUGCAAGUUGAGCGCUGAAGGUUGGUACUUGUACCAACUGGAUGAGCAGCGAACGGGUGAGUAACGCGUGGGGAAUCUGCCUUUGAGCGGGGGACAACAUUUGGAAACGAAUGCUAAUACCGCAUAAAAACUUUAAACACAAGUUUUAAGUUUGAAAGAUGCAAUUGCAUCACUCAAAGAUGAUCCCGCGUUGUAUUAGCUAGUUGGUGAGGUAAAGGCUCACCAAGGCGAUGAUACAUAGCCGACCUGAGAGGGUGAUAGGCCACAUUGGGACUGAGACACGGCCCAAACUCCUACGGGAGGCAGCAGUAGGGAAUCUUCGGCAAUGGACGAAAGUCUGACAGAGCAACGCCGCGUGAGUGAAGAAGGUUUUCGGAUCGUAAAACUCUGUUGGUAGAGAAGAACGUUGGUGAGAGUGGAAAGCUCAUCAAGUGACGGUAACUACCCAGAAAGGGACGGCUAACUACGUG